rnacentral:lncRNA from 1 species
CUAAAAACCAAAGACCAAUGUACUGCUCACUUUGUUGAGGGGUCGCUAUUUCUCAUUUCUGGAAGCUCUGAGAUUGUCAGCGCAGGGAUGUGGAGAGGGCUGAGUGUGGUGUUCCCCAAUCAGUGAGAGCUACAGAAGUUAGAAGGAUCAAUGACAGACCAGCCUGACUUACCAAGUAAGAGAGAUACUACACUAUGAUGUCCUCCUUCCUCCUUCCCUCCUACCCACACUUACAAGAAAUCACAAACAUACUACAAACAGUAACAGAGCAAAGCCAAAUUAGCCUCUGCGGUUCUGUAGUGAGCCCCACGUGAAUAAACAUGAGACAUUAAGAAGUGUAAAGAAAAUAAUCAGGCUCAUUUACCAGGUGAAAAAUUUUAAAUGACAACAACUCUUAAGAGAGUCUUAUUUUUUUUCUUUAUUUUGUACAGCAUAAAUAUCAUUAGCAUAAACUCUUCCAAUUUAAAACGAGUUUCUUCAUGCAUGAUCUAAGCUGAAAUUUAUCUUCAUUCUGGAAAAAACGGUUUCUUAAGAAAAAUACUACAUUAAAGAAACAGCGAGAGAAAUUUUCACCAUUUUAAGCACUUCAAACUACUAAAAAGAUGUCAAGCUACUGAGGCUGAAGUGAAAUUUUCUAAACUUUCCCACAAGUUGACCCAAAUUCUUUGAGAAAUAAACAGAAAAAUGCCAUGUACUUGGAGAUGCACAAAAGCUCCCAUGUUUGAAACAAACAAAAAAAGAGAAAGAUUUUAGAAAUCACAGACCAAUAUGCUUGACAUCAGCCCUAGGGAAAAUUAAAAGUCCUUGAGUGAAUCAUGAAGCAAUAAAGAAAUCACUAGAAGUCAAUAAAUAUUCAUCAAGAACAAGUAAUAGAAAAUGAAGUGAUUUGCUUUUUUAUAGAUUAGUAAUUAUUUAUAGACUACUGUCAGGGACAUGAUGAAGGUCAGGUGUCUCUUCCUCCUCCCAAAGCAUUUAAGAUUCAAAACCAUCACAGCAGGUUAUAGUAGCAAUUCUCGACCCUGGCUACACAUCAGAGUCACCUGAGAAGCUUGACAUACCCAGGCCUCUAUACCAGUGAUUCAGAUGUUGAUCUGAGGCAGAGCUGAGCAGAAGUAUGUUUUUAUAGCUCCCUAGAGGAUUUUAAUGUGCAGGCAGGAUUAAGAUAAGACAUUUAGGUUCAAAUACUCAAGUGUAUGAAUGUGGACACAGAAAUACUUAUUUUGGAAGUGAUUUUCUUGCAGGUGACUCGGUAGGGUUUAAUUAGUAAGUCACAAGCAAUGGGACACACUAGUAAGAUAUUAGUGCUACAUAAAGGUAACUGCUCAAGUAAAAAUAAAGAAGUAAAAAACCAAGGAAGAGAAGAGUAUUGCGUUUGUCCUGUUUCUGCAUAUUCAAUACCUCGUUCAAGGGUUCUCACACAGCAGAUGCUGGGCAGACAUAGGAGGAAUCAAUAAUGUCAGCAUAUUGUUCAAUAAUAAAUACAUCAUGUUUUUACAAAUUUAUAACUUAUGAAUAAUUCUUCACAUAUAUCAUCCUAUCUGAUAUGCAAUCAUCUAGGGCUGAGAGGUAAAUUAUCAUCUUCUAUUAGUAACAAGUAAUCUCUGCUAGAGGGACUAUUUUGAGGCAGUUAUUCAUCGGAACACAAAUAAAUGCUCUUCUUCCACAUGCCAGCCCUUAAAAUUAACACAUUCCUCCAUCUUUUCUUCGCCAGCCAAUAAGUCCUUCGAACUUUCAGGUGUUCCUCACAGGACAAGUUUUCAAUUUUUAAUCAGCGUUUCUCAAUGUGCAUAGGGGAUGGGCAAUUCACUGCGCUGAACUGUUCUGCACUCCUGUUAAGACAUUUAUCAUCCCUUGCCUCUAGGGCACUAUGUGCCAGCAACAACUCAACUACUAUAAUCAUUUAAAUAAUCCCACACAUUUUCAAACGCUGCCCUCUCUCCUAAGGUGGGGGCAGUGCUGCCAACACUUUACAACCACUGCCUUAUCCUGUUUAAUCCACCAUCUUUUUUUGUUUGUUUGGUUUUGAGAUGGAGUCUUGCUCUGUUGCCCAGGCUGGAGUGCACUGGCAUGAUCUCUGCUCACUGCAACCUCUGCCUCCCAGGUUCAAGCAAUUCUUUUGCCUCAGUCCCCUGAAUUACAGGUGCAUGCCACCAUGCCUGGCUAAUUUUUACAUUUUUAGUAAAGCCAGGGUUUCACCAUUUUGGCCAGGUUGGUCUCAAACUCCUGACCUCAGGUGAUCCAUCCACCUCGGCCUCCCAAACUGCAGACAUGAGCCAUGGCACCUAGUCUAAUCCGCCAUCUUUUAUAGUAGCAUUGUUUGGUACAGUAGCCACUAGCCCUAUGUGAGUAUUCAAAUAUAACUAAAAAUUCAAUUUCUCAGUCUCGCUAUAGCCACAUUUCAAGAGCUCAACAGCCACUUGUGACUAGUGGCUACCAUAUGGACAGUGAAGAUAGAAAAUUUUUCCAAACCACAGAAAAUUUUACUGAAUAGCACUGUAUCUAGAAUCCAGACAAGGCUUCAACUGUUUACUAGAUUUCAGUUCUUAAUAUUGGCUUAAUCGCUUAGUAUUUCUGUACCUUGUGGACAUGGAGAAGAAACAAAAUUACAAGGUUACAGAGCUACUGGUUGUUGUUAUUUAAUAGGCUAAUAAAGAAGCACUUAUGGCCGGGCGUGGUGGCUCACGUCUGUAAUCCCAGCACUUUGAGAGUCCGAGGUGGGCAGAUC